CCUACGGGAGGCAGCAGUGGGGAAUAUUGGGCAAUGGGCGCAAGCCUGACCCAGCAACACCGCGUGAAGGAAGAAGGCUUUCGGGUUGUAAACUUCUUUUGUCAGGGACGAAGCAAGUGACGGUACCUGACUAAUAAGCCACGGCUAACUACGUGCCAGCAGCCGCGGUAAUACGCAGGUGGCAAGCGUUAUCCGGAUUUACUGGGGGUAAAGGGCGUGUAGGCGGGACUGCAAGUCAGAUGUGAAAACCACGGGCGCAACCUGUGGCCUGCAUUUGAAACUGUAGUUCUUGAGUACGGGAGAGGCAGACGGAAGUCCUGGUGUAGCGGUGAAAUGCGUAGAUAUUAGGAGGAACACCAGUGGCGAAGGCGGUCUACUGGACAGCAACUGACGCUGAGGCGCGAAAGCGUGGGGAGCAAACAGGAUUAGAUACCCCUGUAGUC
rnacentral:rRNA from 1 species